GUGGGGAAUAUUCCGCAAUGGACGAAAGUCUGACGGAGCAACGCCGCGUGAGUGAUGAAGGUUUUCGGACUGUAAAGCUCUGUUGUUUAGGACGAAAGUGCCUGUUGCAAACAGUUACAGGUAUUGACGGUACUAAACGAGGAAGCCACGGCUAACUACGUGCCAGCAGCCGCGGUAAUACGUAGGUGGCAAGCGUUGUCCGGAAUUAUUGGGCGUAAAGAGCAUGUAGGCGGGAAUCUAAGUCUGUUGUGAAAAUGCGGGGCUCAACCCCGUAUUGCGAUGGAAACUGGGUUUCUUGAGUGCAGGAGAGGAAAGGGGAAUUCCCAGUGUAGCGGUGAAAUGCGUAGAUAUUGGGAGGAACACCAGUGGCGAAGGCGCCUUUCUGGACUGUGUCUGACGCUGAGAUGCGAAAGCCAGGGUAGCGAACGGGAUUAGAUACCCUUGUAGUCC
rnacentral:rRNA from 1 species